AGGUAACACCAAUCUCUUUAUGUGUCAGUAUAUAAUGCUUGCAUCUGUAAUUUCACUCCAUGCAUCUGAAGAAGUGGUUUUUUAACCACGAAAGCUUAUGCCCAAAUAAAUCUGUUAGUCUUUAAGGUGCCACAGAACUCCUUGUAGUGUUUAUGUAUAAUACACA